GACGGAGGGCGCUAGCGUUGUUCGGAAUCACUGGGCGUAAAGGGCGCGUAGGCGGCCAAGCAAGUCGAGGGUGAAAGCCCGGGGCUCAACCCCGGAACGGCCUUCGAGACUGCUCGGCUCGAGACCGGAAGAGGAGGGUGGAAUACCCAGUGUAGAGGUGAAAUUCGUAGAUAUUGGGUGGAACACCAGUGGCGAAAGCGGCUCUCUGGUCCGGUUCUGACGCUGAGGCGCGAAAGCGUGGGGAGCAAACAGG
rnacentral:rRNA from 1 species